GACGAACGCUGGCGGCGUGCUUAGCACAUGCAAGUCGAACGAUGAACCCGGAGCUUGCUCCGGCGGAUUAGUGGCGAACGGGUGAGUAACACGUGAGUAACCUGCCCUUGACUCUGGGAUAACUGCGGGAAACUGUAGCUAAUACCGGAUACUUUCACCGGAAGGCAUCUUUUGGUGAUGAAAGAAUUUCGGUCAGGGAUGAGCUCGCGGCCUAUCAGCUUGUUGGUGAGGUAACGGCUCACCAAGGCGACGACGGGUAACCGGCCUGAGAGGGUGACCGGUCACACUGGGACUGAGACACGGCCCAGACUCCUACGGGAGGCAGCAGUGGGGAAUAUUGCACAAUGGGCGCAAGCCUGAUGCAGCAACGCCGCGUGAGGGAUGAAGGCCUUCGGGUUGUAAACCUCUUUUAGCAGGGAAGAAGCGAAAGUGACGGUACCUGCAGAAAAAGCACCGGCUAACUACGUGCCAGCCGCCGCUGUAA
rnacentral:rRNA from 1 species